rnacentral:rRNA from 1 species
UACGUAGGGAGCGAGCGUUGUCCGGAUUUACUGGGUGUAAAGGGUGCGUAGGCGGCUAUGCAAGUCAGUAGUGAAAUCCAUGGGCUUAACCCAUGAACUGCUAUUGAAACUGCACAGCUUGAGUGAAGUAGAGGUAGGCGGAAUUCCCGGUGUAGCGGUGAAAUGCGUAGAGAUUAGGAAGAACACCAGUGGCGAAGGCGAUUCUCUGGACUGUAACUGACGCUGAGGCUCGAAAGCGUGGGGAGCAAACAGG